rnacentral:rRNA from 1 species
UAAGGACAGUGAAGUCAGACCGGAAGGACUGGUGGAGUGCUUAGAAGUGAGAAUGCCGGUAUGAGUAGCGAAAGACGGGUGAGAAUCCCGUCCACCGAAUGCCUAAGGUUUCCUGAGGAAGGCUCGUCCGCUCAGGGUUAGUCAGGACCUAAGCCGAGGCCGACAGGCGUAGGCGAUGGACAACAGGUUGAUAUUCCUGUACCACCUCUUUAUCGUUUGAGCAAUGGAGGGACGCAGAAGGAUAGAAGAAGCGUGCGAUUGGUUGUGCACGUCCAAGCAGUUAGGCUGAUAAGUAGGCAAAUCCGCUUAUCGUGAAGGCUGAGCUGUGAUGGGGAAGCUCCUUAUGGAGCGAAGUCUUUGAUUCCCCGCUGCCAAGAAAAGCUUCUAGCGAGAUAAAAGGUGCCUGUACCGCAAACCGACACAGGUAGGCGAGGAGAGAAUCCUAAGGUGUGCGAGAGAACUCUGGUUAAGGAACUCGGCAAAAUGACCCCGUAACUUCGGGAGAAGGGGUGCUUUCUUAACGGAAAGCCGCAGUGAAUAGGCCCAAGCGACUGUUUAGCAAAAACACAGCUCUCUGCGAAGCCGUAAGGCGAAGUAUAGGGGGUGACACCUGCCCGGUGCUGGAAGGUUAAGGAGAGGGGUUAGCGUAAGCGAAGCUCUGAACUGAAGCCCCAGUAAACGGCGGCCGUAACUAUAACGGUCCUAAGGUAGCGAAAUUCCUUGUCGGGUAAGUUCCGACCCGCACGAAAGGUGUAACGAUUUGGGCACUGUCUCAACCAGAGACUCGGUGAAAUUAUAGUACCUGUGAAGAUGCAGGUUACCCGCGACAGGACGGAAAGACCCCGUGGAGCUUUACUGUAGCCUGAUAUUGAAUUUUGGUACAGUUUGUACAGGAUAGGCGGGAGCCAUUGAAACCGGAGCGCUAGCUUCGGUGGAGGCGCUGGUGGGAUACCGCCCUGACUGUAUUGAAAUUCUAACCUACGGGUCUUAUCGACCCGGGAGACAGUGUCAGGUGGGCAGUUUGACUGGGGCGGUCGCCUCCUAAAGUGUAACGGAGGCGCCCAAAGGUUCCCUCAGAAUGGUUGGAAAUCAUUCGUAGAGUGCAAAGGCAUAAGGGAGCUUGACUGCGAGACCUACAAGUCGAGCAGGGACGAAAGUCGGGCUUAGUGAUCCGGUGGUUCCGCAUGGAAGGGCCAUCGCUCAACGGAUAAAAGCUACCCCGGGGAUAACAGGCUUAUCUCCCCCAAGAGUCCACAUCGACGGGGAGGUUUGGCACCUCGAUGUCGGCUCAUCGCAUCCUGGGGCUGUAGUCGGUCCCAAGGGUUGGGCUGUUCGCCCAUUAAAGCGGUACGCGAGCUGGGUUCAGAACGUCGUGAGACAGUUCGGUCCCUAUCCGUCGUGGGCGUAGGAAAUUUGAGAGGAGCUGUCCUUAGUACGAGAGGACCGGGAUGGACGCACCGCUGGUGUACCAGUUGUUCUGCCAAGGGCAUAGCUGGGUAGCUAUGUGCGGAAGGGAUAAGUGCUGAAAGCAUCUAAGCAUGAAGCCCCCCUCAAGAUGAGAUUUCCCAUAG